ensembl:lncRNA LINC00683 long intergenic non-protein coding RNA 683
GCACACACACGGUGUGUUUGUGAGCUGUGCAGAGUGGGGUCUCCCUGGCAAUGGCCACAGCCUCCAGGGGCGCUGACACCUCCCGUCUAACUGGUAGACAGUUUCUGCCUCUUCUUGUUUGGGGAUUGGAGAGGGAAGUGCGUCUGGAUGACUACUAAGAUGAGGAGGCUGAGGCCUAGUGCUCCUAGCGGGCUUGGUCAAGAGCAGGAGGCGGAGGUGGUGGAAGGCUGUUUCCCUGCGGUUUGGCCAUGUGAGAGGGCUCUGGCAUCCUUUGAUGUGCCAUCGUUAUUCUCCGAGCACUUCCCUACUUUCUGGCACUACGACCUGUUCCAGCCCCUCUUGGGCUCCACCUACCCAGCCCUGGAACCAGCCCUGGAAUCAGCCCUUUCCCUGUUCCUUUAAUCGAAGAAUGGUAUUUAGAAGCCAAGAUCUAGCUUCAAGGAUGCACUCUUCCUCGAGAAUUGUCAUUCUCAUUAUUAAUUUUACUUUUAAACUUUUCAUUUUUAGUUGUACAUGGCAAGUAUAGAGAAAUACUAUUUUAUUUUAUAUUUCACAACAUAAUUAAAGCUUCUACC